AGGCAGCUCCAUGUCCUUUACCCGGAUGUGACUUCCUUUGAUCCGGAGCCUGACCCCCGUCUUGGCGGCGUGCAGACAUUUUGGCGUGGCGUCUUUGUUGUCCUCGUGGACCAUAUGUCAGCAAUUCGGACUGUUUCCACCAGCAAUCAGUCGGAGCCAGAGAGAAGCGAGUUUUCUGUUCACACCACGGCGCAGGUGGUAAUGAAACAUCAGCGGCUGGCUGAGUCGACCUCGUCUGAGAUUCUGUACACUGAUUCACACCCCAGGAGCCGGUGAUUAUCUUCAGAAAAACUGUCAGUCGAGGAUCGAUGCUAAGCAGUUUCGGACCACAGAGAGUGAACUGACCGAGUGACGCCUGUCAGAGAGUGCUGGGACAACAAGGCAGCAGUACCACCUGCAGCAGGUAUCCCUGCUGAGACACGUGAAGCCAGAUGCCUGAAACAUGAGGUCACUAUCGACACAGCUGCUCUAAAUUAUCUGCCACCAACCAACCGAAAACCCUUACGCCUGUUACUGUCCUCCAAUCGUCUGGCAGGAUCUCAA